GGGAGUAUCAACUCAACUCAACUAUUUUUGGUUCAAUCUCUUUAUACUCUUUUUUUGUUUCUCCAUCUCCUCUAUUUAUGGAUCUGAAGUUGAUUGUGUUUACACAGUUUACGUUCGAACGAGUUCAAAAAUAAAAGCUGGAACUGAUUCCAUCAUCAGCUUGACUCUCUACAAUGCAAACGGGUAUGGUAUUCGAAUCAAUAACUUGGAAGCUUGGGGCGGACUUAUGGGCCCGGGUUACAACUAUUUCGAGAGAGGAAACUUGGACAUUUUCAGUGGCCGAGGCCCAUGUUUAAAUGGGCCCAUCUGUAAGAUGAACUUGACUUCCGAUGGAACAGGCUCCGGCCAUGGAUGGUACUGUAACUACGUU
rnacentral:misc_RNA from 1 species